UACGUAGGGUGCAAGCGUUGUCCGGAAUUAUUGGGCGUAAAGAGCUCGUAGGCGGUUUGUUGCGUCGGCUGUGAAAUCCCGAGGCUCAACCUCGGGUCUGCAGUCGAUACGAGCAAACUAGAGUGUUGCAGGGGAGACUGGAACUCCUGGUGUAGCGGUGAAAUGCGCAGAUAUCAGGAGGAACACCGGUGGCGAAGGCGGGUCUCUGGGCAACAACUGACGCUGAGGAGCGAAGGCGUGGGGGGCGAACAGG
rnacentral:rRNA from 1 species